GCCUGUAGCUCAGUUGGUUAGAGCGCACGCCUGAUAAGCGUGAGGUCGCUAGUUCAAUUCUAGCCAGGCC
rnacentral:tRNA from 1 species